rnacentral:lncRNA from 1 species
GAUAAAUUCUAUGCAGAAAAGGGCGGGUUCCCUGAUGAAGCCCCGAGCCUCAAGCCGAAAAGCCUGAGACCCUGGCAUUAAGUGAGAACUUAUAUCCCUCUUUCCAGCUUGAAUGUUGCCUUUUCCUAAACCACCCAUAGCUCUGCGCCAUCCCAUCCUAUACCUAUAAAGGCCACAGACUCAGCCAGCAGAGGGGAGAAGCGGCUGGACAUCAAGGACCAUGGCUAGACACCAGAAAGAAGCUGCUUGACAGAGUAACUUCGGAGAAGAAUCUGGCCGGAGACGGCCGGAUUUCAGGGGAAGAUUACCUUGUCGCCUUGUCCUUUAUUCAGUCCCUCUUUCUGCGGAGAGCCACUUUCAUUGGCAAUAAAAUCCCCCGCAUUUACCAUCCUUCAAUUCGUUCACGUGACUUCAUUUUUUCUGGACCCUGGACAAGAGCUCGGGAGCCGAGAGUGCAGAUGCAAAAAGGCCCACUGAGCUGUUUACACUGAAGCCAUUCGCAGAUGUCAGAGCUAAAAGAGAACUGUAACAUGCCCUCUGGGGCUUCAUGGGUGGCAGGUACCCUCCCAGAUGGUGCCGUGGGGCCUGCAUGGAGUUUGCUCCUGCUGGCGCCUCAAAGCACUGGCCCUGGCUCCAGCACCCAUUCACCUCCCGCGAAGGGUGGAACGCAGCGAAUCUGAAAAUAUAAUCUGGAAAAUACCAUAAACCAAGAUACCUGUGAGCAGGUGAUUGCUGAAAAGGUAAAGACACUGAACAGUAUAUGUAAAAAGGAUAUCAGAAGACUCUGAAAGGUAGAGAGAAGAAAGAAGACUUGCCUCAGGACCUGAAGAAAGACGUGGUGGUGGGUUCCCAGAAUUAUUUUUUCAUUCAAACAUCACAAGCUUGAAGCUGAAAAAGCCAGCAACCCAGAAAUGAACGGGCAAAAAUAGACUUUCAAAAAGCCUGCUCCCUCUAGUUGAAGGACCAAAAAAAAAAGGAAAGCCUAGUAAUACAGAAAACAUUCAGACAAUAAUUUUUCUACUCCAGUGAAACGCCAUAAAAGAAACAGAUGAAAAAGCAGAGUGACCCUACUCCUAGCCAUACCAGCAAGGGCCUAGUCGGUGCCUAGACUUCUACACUCUUUAGGCUGUAAUGUGGCAUCCAACAGCCUUGCCAGGGUAGUGUAAGAUUAGACAAUGUAGGAAGCUAGAACUUCUAUCCGCACCAUCUGGUAAUGAGUGACUCUCCCAAAUCUCCCUCACAUGGUAAAAAUGUCAGUGAAGAACAUAUAGGGAGUCUAGUCUUCCAUCUCCACCUGGCAGUAAUGAGGUACUCCUCCCUCUCCCCGCUAGAGUGGUGUCAGAGGAGAUCUAGUGGAGAGUGAUGGCUUUGGGCAUUAACUCUCAAAUGGAGAGGCUACCUGGGAAUCCAGAACACCCAUCUUAUCCAGGAGUAAGGAGGAACUCCCCAACUCAGGUGCCAGUGGAGGCCAAGUUAGGAAGCUGAAUAUCUACGCCCACCUAGUAGUAAUACUACAGUGUGCCCAAAACCCUUUUCUCUGCCAGAAUGAUGUGAGGGAAAACCAGGUUUAAAAGAAUGUUUUAAAUAAGAUCUAGACUGUCAUCAUAACAUCACAUAGAAAUGUCCAGAUUUCAAUAAAAAAAUAAAGAACCAGAAAGAUCUCCAAUUGAAAAAAUAAUAAAUAAAUAGAUGACAACACUGAGAUAACAGAGAUGUUAGAAUUGUCAAAGAUUUUAAAGCACCCGUGACUUUUAAAAAAUGACCCAGUGAACAAUUAUAAACAUGCCAGAAACAAAUAAAAAUAUAGCAAAGAAAUGUCAAGUCUCAGAAAAUAAAUAGAAGAAAUAAAGGAAAUCAAAUGAACAUUUUAAAACUUAAAAAUGCAAUAUCCAACAGAAGAAUGAUGUGGACAGAAGAAAGAAUCAGUGACCCGGAAGUUAGAUAAAUAGGAGCUACUCAAUGUGAAUAACAGAAAAUAGACUGAAAAAACGAACAGAACCCUAGAGACUUUGGAACUAUAACAAAAGAUCUAACAUUCAUGCUAUCAGAAUCAUGAAUGUGGGAAAAGUAUGUGAAGAAACAAUGGCUGAAAACUUCCCAAAUUGGUGUGACACAUAGCUACAGGUUCAAGAGACUAAAUGGAUCACAAAUAGGAUAAACCCAAAGAAACACACACCAAAACACAUAAUAAUUAAAAUUCUGAAAAUUAAGGAGAAAGAAAAAAUCUUGAAGGCUAUGAGAAAGAAAUGCCACCUUACCUUUAGGGCAAAAACAAUUGGAAUAAUGGUGGGUUUUUUAUCAAACAUCGUGGAGGCCAGAAGUAAGUAAAUAUACACAUAAUACACGCUCUAGCAGGUGUACUUCUAGGCAUUUAUCUCAGAGAAAUGAGGUCUUAUGUUUACACAAAACCAAAUGUUUAUAGUGACUUGCAAUAGGUGAAUAAUGGAAACAGCUCAGAUUUUGCUCAACAGAUGAAUAGUUCAACAAACUGUGGUACAUUCAUGCUCUAGAAUAUUAUUUAGCAAUAAAAAAAAAAACAGGCCAGGCAUGGCUGCUCAUGCCUGUAAUAUCAGCACUUUGGGAGGCUGAGGCAGGAGGUAGCUUGAGCUCAGGAGUUCGAGACCAGCUUGGGAAACAUAGGAAGAUUCUGUCUCUACAAAAUAAAAUUUAAAACAACAGCAACAAAAUCCCCUAGCCAGGUGUGAUGGCAUGUGCCUGUGGUCCCAGUUACUCAGGAGGCUGAGGUAGGAGGAUCGCUUGGGCCUGGGAGGUCGAGGCUACACUUAGUCGUGAUGGUGCCACUGCACUCCAGCCUGGGUGACAGAGUAAGAUUCUGUCUCGAAAAGAAAAGAAAAGAAAAGAAAAACAGGAAAAAAGAAAAGAAAAGAACAAUCAAAUUAUGAAUAUGUGCAACAACAUGAGUGAAUCUCUAGAGAAUUAUGCUGAAUGAAAAAAAUCAAUCUCAAAAUGUUGUAUAUUAUGUGACUCCAUUUAUAUAACAUUUUUGAAAUGAUAAAAGUAUUAAAAUGGAUAAAGAUGAGUGGUUUCCAGGAUUUAAAAAGAGUAGAGUGGGAAAAAGUGGGUGUGGUCAGGGAAGGUAAAAAUGAGGCAUCCUCAUAGUGAUGAAAAUAUUCUGGAUCUUAGCAAUGUCAAUAUACUGGCUGUGAUGUCAUACUGUAGUGUUGCAAGAUGUUAUCAUUGGUAAAGUCAGGGACAUGGACAAAUAGGCAAAAACUGUGUCAAGCAAAGGAGAAGGGAAUGUGUAUGAAGAAAUUAAGAAUGUUGUGGGAGUGCCAGAAAUUAUACUCACUGGGAUUUUAGGGAUUAGAGAAAUUUCUGCAAGAAGUGACAAUAUGAAUAUUUAAGUUGUUGUUUUUUACUCUAUGUUCUUACCAAUUACAUGGAUAAUAGUGUUUAAUGUAACAGUGAAAAUGCAGUUACUAUGGAGAAAUAUAUUAUUAGCCACAGGUGUAUUUACUAUUAGAGUAAUGAUGGGGAAUAUUUGUUCUCCUUUUAGCUUGUCAAAUUUCAUGAAAAACUCUUUGAAAUUUUCAUUUUAAUUAUAUUGAAUCUAUGCAUUUAUUUAAUACAAAGCAGCAUCUUUGUAAUCUUGAGUUUUGAAAAACAAUUUGGGUUAUCUCUUAAUUUUAAAAAAUAUUUUAAUGUCCUCCACAAAAGUUUUAUAAUAUUCUGGAUACAAAUUUCAUGCAUUUUUAAGAUAUUUUUCCUUUAUGACUCUUAAGUAUUUUAUUGUUAUAGUAAAUAUAAAAGUAUCUCAUUAAAUUUUCUAUUUGUUGCUACUAUAUAUGCUAUUUACCUUAAUAACAUCUUACUUCUAAAAAUUUGUGUAGAGAUUCUUCAGAUUUUUAGUGUACUAUCAUCUGAGAAUAAAACGUAAUGUCUUCCUAAC